rnacentral:lncRNA from 10 species
AGUUCAUAAAAUGAAGAAUAAAAGUCUACCUUCCUCCAUGUCUCCAAAGUCCAUUCUAAACACAGUCACUCCUCUACUCAAACACCUUUGAUGGCCGUUCAUGUCACUCAGAAUGGAAUGAAACCUGGAGCUCUGCCGGUGAUCAAUAACAUGCUGCCUGAUUUGUGCCUCCUGUACCAUCUCCUCAUCUCCUGCCACCCACACCCUCAUGCUCUGCUGUCAUUCAUUACCUUGGCUUCCCAGAUGUCUCUUGAAUAUACCAGGCAUGUUCCUGUCUAAGGGCCUUUGCAUUCCCAGUUCCUUCAGCCUGGAAUAUCCUUACCCCAUGAAAUGGCUCAGAACAUGCCACCUCAAAAUAUGCCACUUUGGCAUAAUGAUUAUUUUGAGCUGAAGGCGCUUGAGAAACACUAGGGGCAGGAAGAGCUCUCAGACUUCCCCUUUCUACCAAAAAGCAGGUCAUAAAAUUUCCCAUGAGAAAGGUGCCCUCCUUGUGCCAGGAAGAGAAGAAUAGUAUCACCAGAGAUGACUGGAGUUAUCAUCGAAAUGGACCUGUAAAAAAAAACUAAAAUCAUCCUCAUUUUCCACUAGUUUCGCCUGUAUAUCCCUUACUCCCACAAUUUACUGCUUCUAGCCCAAGGCCUUUUGUCUUGUCACAUCUCCACAGUUUAUCAUUCUUUGUGUAAAAAAUGUAUAUAAGCUUUGGGGCAUAAAGUCUUCUUUGGGUCUUCAUUUUUCUCUGAGGACUCCCAUGUAUACAUAAAAACAUUAAAUAAAUGUGCA